GCAAACUUCAUUGAUUUAAAGUUGAAAAUUGGUCAGAUUGGUUGAUGUUUGGUUGAAUUUAAAAAGUCAACAUCAAUUCAAUGUUUAAGUGUAAUCAUAAUUUCAACAUUGAAAAACUGGCGUUGAAUCAACAUUGCUUAAAGGUUGGGUUUCCCAUGAUUAAAAGUUAAGCAUUUCAUCAACAUUGUUUCAAUGUCAAUGUUCCGAAGGUGUGGCCCAAAGAUUCUAGAAUAGAGCUUUGGUACGCGCUUUAAUCAACCAUCCAAUCAGCAAGCAGCAUUUUAUUUGAAUUUUCUCCCGGAGGAGCUGGAGCCUCUCGCUGCUGCACUGCAAACGUUAGAGAAGAAGAAAUAGAAGUAUCAGCUUAACAUUUGUAAAGGUAAGUUCGACAUUUCUCAUUUUUUUAUCGGUCACUAUUGAGAAACUAAACUAGAAAAAGUUGUUAAAUGGGUUAUUCCAAGAUGUAGUUCGACCGUGUUGGUGAAAGAACUGAAUUUGUUGUUCGUUAGUGCUAACAUCAUUAUGCUAGUGAGUUAGAUUAGCUAUUAUGUUAAUAUUCGUUUUUAGACUUGAAGUUGGAAAGGUUGCUAUUGAUUCACGGUUAAAUUGUUAUCGAUACGUGGAUGGUUAGUCUAGUGUUGGUUGGUUGGUUACCAUUAGCAGGUAGCAGCUACAUCCAUUUUGAAGAUUGGAGCACCAGAACUAACUGCUAACCGUUAGCUUAUUAGCUUGCAGAGCUCCAGCCCUUGCCGUGACCCAGCUUUAGCUGCUAGCUGCUACCGAAGGAAGCUCUCGACACCUGGGACCGUUGAUCCGCUGAGCUCGGUAGCGAGAGAGCUAUGAAUAUUACCGACACACGUAAAAGAAUGAUCUGCAUAUGCGUUGGCGAAUCUGGUCGUAGAUGUCCUGGCUCUCAACAAAGGCACCAGGCAGGAUUGGGGUUUUUUUGCAUUCCCAUAAGCCUGACUUCCUGAUGUCCACUACACUCUGUUCUCAAUCUUCUCCAGUCUUUUGCAAACUGUGAUGUUCAGAUGUCCUAUAAGCCUGACUUCCUGAUGUCCACUACACUCCGUUCUCAACCUUCUCCGGUAUUCUGCAAACUAUGAAUGCCUCCUUGUGUUGGAUUCAUGAUGUUCACCAUACUGCACGGCCUACUUUUUUUCCUCGCAAGCUAUGGAAAGAAACUCUGUUCAGCUCAUGAAACGGACUGUUCACAUUUUUGGACUUAUGUGGAGGAAGCAGGGUAUCCUGGUAAUUUUAUUUUGCAGCUACUAUGCUCUCGUAUAUAGGCCCAACAAAGAGAGAAAUCUGAACUGGCAAAGCUGCUCUAUAUGCAUCACAGGUCGGUAUUGUUGACCUUCACAAAUCAGUUUCAGUUGUACAUUUAGAUAAUUCCAAACAUUGAUGUCAACACACUGCUGUUCUUGUACCUAAUAAUAACUUUGAGUUAGUCAUGGCAAAAUGUGUGCAAAAUAUGUGAUGGUUGACUUCAGAGUAAACACUCAUGUUUGACACAUUGAACUUGUAGUAGAGUUGUUUGCAUUAAUUGAACAGGCCAUCUUUGUUUUUUUGUAUGUGAAGGUCAUUAACAAGGAAUAAAAUGAUUGUUUUCAUAUUCAACACCUUUGUUA